GUUGGUUAGAAUACCGGCCUGUCACGCCGGGGGUCGCGGGUUCGAGUCCCGUCCGCUCCG
rnacentral:tRNA from 1 species